AUUGAACGCUGGCGGCAGGCCUAACACAUGCAAGUCGAGCGGAUGAAGGGAGCUUGCUCCUGGAUUCAGCGGCGGACGGGUGAGUAAUGCCUAGGAAUCUGCCUGGUAGUGGGGGAUAACGUCCGGAAACGGGCGCUAAUACCGCAUACGUCCUGAGGGAGAAAGUGGGGGAUCUUCGGACCUCACGCUAUCAGAUGAGCCUAGGUCGGAUUAGCUAGUUGGUGGGGUAAAGGCCUACCAAGGCGACGAUCCGUAACUGGUCUAAGAGGAUGAUCAGUCACACUGGAACUGAGACACGGUCCAGACUCCUACGGGAGGCAGCAGUGGGGAAUAUUGGACAAUGGGCGAAAGCCUGAUCCAGCCAUGCCGCGUGUGUGAAGAAGGUCUUCGGAUUGUAAAGCACUUUAAGUUGGGAGGAAGGGCAGUAAGUUAAUACCUUGCUGUUUUGACGUUACCAACAGAAUAAGCACCGGCUAACUUCGUGC
rnacentral:rRNA from 1 species